ACUUGGGUAGUUUAAUGAAAAUUCUGAUUUGUGGCAUCAGGGAUACAGGAGGGUUCUUGUCUUAGGUU
rnacentral:tRNA from 1 species